rnacentral:lncRNA from 1 species
AUCAGAAAAUAUUGAUAGAUGAGACAUACAUCACAAAAAUCCUUGUAGUUGCAAUAAACAACUUGCCAAUAUAUGCAAACUAUUUUCCCCUCCAUUCUCUUGAAUUAAGGGAGUAUUUAAGGGAGGAUUGAUUCUCCUAUGAAGCAACCAUUUGGAUAGAGGACUGGGUGAAUCAAUUAGCCACACCACUGUUCUAAAUACUCAGCUUUAACAUUCUUGGCCAUGUCCAGUUCAUUCUCUGACCACAAAAGUUCAGCUUGGUUCUUUGCCUGAAUUUUCUUCUAUGUAAAGUCAGACUUCCUGUAUCAUGCCAAUUUUUUGCAUUGGGUUUUUUUUUUUCUUUUUUUUUUGGAGACAGAGUCUCAC